AUGGGUGUUACGCUUUGGGCAAUCUGGUAUGCGCGAAGGCAGUUCAUACAUGAGGGGUUACACAAGAGCCCGCUGUCAACACACCUCUCUAUCACAAAUUUUAUAGCUGAACUUGAUCAGCUAAAUGCCGAUGGGGGUAUUCCCUUAGAUCACAAUGUGGGCACUGCUGCUGCGAUUUGCCGUGAUCGGGAAGGUAAUUAUAUGGGAUCUUCUAUUAUGGUUGUUCAAGGAGCAACGGAUCCAGCUACAGUAGAAGCUUUGGCGUGUCGGGAAGCUCAAGCAUUGGCAAGGGAUUUGAGUUUGCAGAGUAUUCAGGUGGCUUCAGAUUGUAAACAAGUCAUCUCACAUAUCAAGCAAGGAGUUGGAGGCAAUUAUGCGAGCAUAAUUAGAGAGGUGACAGAAACUACGAGUUUUUUCACGGCCUGUAAUUUUGUUUUUGAGCCAAGAACUUCAAAUUUUGAAGCUCAUAGGUUAGCUAGGUAUGGUGUUUCCCUUUCCCUGGGGAGACAUAUAUGGUUAGGGCAUCCCCAUGAUGCUAAUAUUAUCCCUGUAAACAUUCUAACCAUGCAAUAA
rnacentral:rRNA from 1 species